rnacentral:misc_RNA from 1 species
UCAUCAUUCUCUUCCAUGCAUAUAUAAGGAGGCAUAUGGGGCGUGAAAUGUGUAUAUUAUCAUCAAGAAACAAUAGAUGGAGGCUAGCUUUCAAGAAUCAAGAAGAUUAAGAGAAAGAGAAGAAGCAAUGAUGAAGAAUAAUAGCUCCUUUCUUUCUCAAUACCACAACUCCACGCCUUUUGAAGCAAAAGAAGAAGCGCCCAGUUUCAAUAAGGAAGAUAGAGCUGUGGUGAGGCCUCCGGUUACAGAGAAUAAUAAACCAGCACAAAAGCUAGAGAGCAAGCCAUCCAUGGAC